GCAUAAUCAUUAGGGGUUUAAUUGGAACCUAGUAUGAAGGGUUGGACAAAGGAAAAGCUGUCUUUAAUGGUAAAGGUUGAAUUUUACUUUUAAGUGAAAAGGCUUAAAUAUAUCAAAGGGACGAUAAGACCCUAUAAAGCUUUAUAGAUAAUUUAAAUUUAGCUAAUUUGGAAGUUAAAGGUUAGAUAUAAUUAUUCUAUUUUAUUGGGGUGAUAUGAGUAUAAGUGUUGGUAACUGCUUAAGAUAAAUUCUUUUGUAAGAGAGUUAUAAGUGUAUGAUCCUUUUUAAAGAUUAAAAGACUAAGUUACUUUAGGGAUAACAGCGUUAUUUCUCUUGAGAGUUCAUAUCGAAAGAGAAGAUUGCGACCUCGAUGUUGAAUUAAAAUAUCUAUAUAAUGCAGUCGUUAUAAAAGAGGGUCUGUUCGACCUUUAAAUUUUUACAUGAUUUGAGUUC
rnacentral:rRNA from 1 species